AAAGCGCACGUAGGCGGCUUUGUAAGUCAGAGGUGAAAGCCUGGAGCUCAACUCCAGAACUGCCUUUGAGACUGCAUCGCUUGAAUCCAGGAGAGGUGAGUGGAAUUCCGAGUGUAGAGGUGAAAUUCGUAGAUAUUCGGAAGAACACCAGUGGCGAAGGCGGCUCACUGGACUGGUAUUGACGCUGAGGUGCGAAAGCGUGGGGAGCAAACAGGAUUAGAUACCCUAGU
rnacentral:rRNA from 1 species